UUCCUGAUGUUUGGUUGGAAUCUCCUUUCUUGUAACUUGAACCCAUUGGUUCGUGGAGCAGGAGAAAACAAGCUUGCUCCAUCCACCAUGUGACAGCCCUUGGAAUAUCUGAAGAUGGCUAUCAUAUCUCCUCUCAGUCUCCUCUUUUCCAGGCUAAACAUACCCAGCUCCUUCAAC